CAGAGGCCCUGAAAGAUUUUGAGAAGAGGGGGGAAAGGGAGGUUUGUCCUGUUCUGGAUCAGUUUCUCUGUCAUGUAGCGAAGACUGGAGAAACGAUGAUUCAGUGGUCCCAAUUUAAAAGUUAUUUUAUUUUCAAACUGGAGAAAGUGAUGGAUGAUUUCAGAACUUCAGCUCCUGAACCAAGAGGUCCUCACAAUACAAAUGUUGAAUAUAUUCCCUUUGAUGAAAUGAAGGGAAGAAUACUGAAAAUUGUCACUGGAUUUAAUGGAUUAUUAUUAUCCAUCCCUUUUACUAUUCAACGACUGUGUAAAUUGCUAACAGAUCCAAGAAGAAAUUAUAUGAGAACAGACAAAUUUCUCAGAGGAGUAGAGCAGAAUGUGAUGGUUGUUAGCUGUGUUUGUCCUUCUUCAGAAAGAACGACAGUUCUCAUAGUUUAAAUCGAAUAAAUUGUGUUAUGUUUCCUAGAAAUUCACCAAACUAUACUGACAGGUCAAUAUAAAUGGGCCUGGAUCACCCAGGCCACUUAAUCGACCAAAACUUUCCUUGUCAGCCCCCUUGAUAAUAAAUGGUUUACCUGAGAGCACAGACAGCAAAGAGUCAGACCUGCAGCCAAGUGAAGAGAAAGCCCACAGAUGAAGAUACUGUGGAGGCUGAGGGGCAUGAGGUGAAAAGAUUGGGCUUUGACAUAGAAGACGAAGUCGGAGAGACAGUUAGCCAUACAGUGUCCAUUGAAGGCUCAGCUGGUGCAGAGGAACCUGAAGCAGCAUUUUCCCCUCCGGAGAAGGACAGAGAAAGUCAAAGCAGGCAGCACUGUACAGACGAGGAGGAGGAGGACGAGGAAGAGGAGGAAAAAGAAUUUUUUAUGUCACCAAGACAAAUGGUCUCAGAGAGAAAAAAUCAAGAAAAAGAAUCUGAUGAUGCCUUAGCUGUGAAUGAAGAACCUUCAGAGGAGGGUACUCACAUGGAAGAUUCUGGGGCCUCCAGGUCAGAGAGAUCCUCACUCGGAACAGAGUGACAUUGCAGGGGCUGUGAGUAGUGGUUCUGACUGCCCUGAGACAGAAGAGCCAGGAGGGACCACUUCCAGGAAAACGGGAGAAAGUGUCUCCGUGUCAUCCAGGGAAAAUGAUGAAACCACAGAAAUGACAGAUGAACCAAUAGAACAAGACUUAACUACAUAGAAACAUUUAGAGACAGUAUUUUACAUACAGUUCUGGUUUUACACUUUAUAAAACUUUUAAGUAAUAAAGUGGACCUUUAGUUUUA